GACAGAGGGUGCAAACGUUGUUCGGAAUUACUGGGCGUAAAGCGCACGUAGGCGGAUUGUUAAGUCGGGGGUGAAAUCCUGGAGCUCAACUCCAGAACUGCCUUCGAAACUGGCGAUCUUGAGUCCGGGAGAGGUGAGUGGAACUGCGAGUGUAGAGGUGAAAUGCGUAGAGAUCAGGCGGAACACCCGUGGCGAAGGCGACUUCCUGGCCUGUUCUUGACGCUGAGGCGCGAAAGCUAGGGGAGCAAACGGG
rnacentral:rRNA from 1 species